GCCCGGGUGGUGAAAUCGGUAGACACAAGGGAUUUAAAAUCCCUCGACCUUUUUGGUCGUGCGAGUUCAAGUCUCGCCCCGGGCACCA
rnacentral:tRNA from 21 species